GUCAAGCUUCCAAGAAAAGCCCUACACCCGUUAAGGCAUCAUGGCCUGUACCCGAAACCGACACAGGUGGGGUGGUAGAGAAUACCGAGGGGCGCGAGGUAACUCUCUCUAAGGAACUCGGCAAAAUGGCCCCGUAACUUCGGGAGAAGGGGUGCCAGCGAGAGCUGGUCGCAGUGAAGAGGCCCAGGCGACUGUUUACCAAAAACACAGGUCUCCGCUAAGUCGCAAGACGAUGUAUGGGGGCUGACGCCUGCCCAGUGCCGGAAGGUUAAGGAAGCUGGUCAGCGCAAGCGAAGCUGGCGACUGAAGCCCCGGUGAACGGCGGCCGUAACUAUAACGGUCCUAAGGUAGCGAAAUUCCUUGUCGGGUAAGUUCCGACCCGCACGAAAGGCGUAACGAUCUGGGCGCUGUCUCGGAGAGAGGCUCGGCGAAAUAGAAUUGUCUGUGAAGAUGCGGACUACGUGCACCCGGACAGAAAGACCCUAUGAAGCUUUACUGUAGCUUGGUAUUGUGCUCGGGCUCGGAAUGCGCAGGAUAGGUGGGAGGCUUGGAUCCAUUGCUUGCGGGUGAUGGUGAGCCACUGGUGAGAUACCACUCUUUCCGAGCUAGAGUUCUAACCCUCGCCCGUUAUCCGGGGAGGGGACAGUAUCAGGUGGGCAGUUUGACUGGGGCGGUCGCCUCCUAAAAGGUAACGGAGGCGUGCAAAGGUUCCCUCAGGCUGGUUGGAAAUCAGCCGACGAGUGCAAAGGCAGAAGGGAGCUUGACUGUGAGACCUACAAGUCGAACAGGGACGAAAGUCGGCCUUAGUGAUCCGACGGUUCUGCGUGGAAGGGCCGUCGCUCAACGGAUAAAAGUUACCCUAAGGAUAACAGGCUGAUCUCCCCCAAGAGUUCACAUCGACGGGGAGGUUUGGCACCUCGAUGUCGGCUCAUCGCAACCUGGGGCUGAAGUCGGUCCCAAGGGUUGGGCUGUUCGCCCAUUAAAGCGGUACGCGAGCUGGGUUCAGAACGUCGUGAGACAGUUCGGUCCAUAUCCGGUGCACGCGCAGGAAUAUUGAGAGGAUUUCUCCCUAGUACGAGAGGACCGGGAGGAACGCACCUCUGGUGUGCCAGUUAUCGUGCCAACGGUAAACGCUGGGUAGCCAUGUGCGGAGAGGAUAACCGCUGAAAGCAUCUAAGUGGGAAGCCCACCUCAAGAUGAGUAUUCCCAUGGCAAAAGCCAGUAAGGUCACGGGAAGAUUACCCGUUGAUAGGCUCUACGUGGAAGCGCAGCAAUGCGUGAAGCGGAGGAGUACUAAUAGGCCGAGGGCUUGACC
rnacentral:rRNA from 1 species